GAUGACGAAGACUACAAUCCACAUGCCCAUACUUAGUUGUUUCUUUUGUUUACAUCAAGUUGUAAUCCGUCCUACUUAAUUAGUUAGUUCGUUGUCUCCCAACUUUACUGUAUUGUACAUCAAGUUGUUUCAUUUGUUUACAUUUAGUUGGUGUUUCUUUUAUUUACAUCAAGAUGUUGUUUCAUUUGUUUACAUCUACUUGUAUAAUCCGUC
rnacentral:lncRNA from 1 species